rnacentral:sRNA from 1 species
GUCGCAGGUUCGAAUCCUGCACGACCCACCAAUCGCUAAGGUGGAACGCGAUUGUAAAACGUGAAGGAUAACGUUGCGUAAGCAACGGCCCGUAGGGCGAGGCAAAGCCGAGUCAUCCUGCACGCCCCACCA